rnacentral:rRNA from 1 species
GACGAACGCUGGCGGCGUGCUUAACACAUGCAAGUCGAACGGAAAGGCCCUGCUUUUGUGGGGUGCUCGAGUGGCGAACGGGUGAGUAACACGUGAAUAACCUGCCCUUGACUUUGGGAUAACUUCAGGAAACUGGGGCUAAUACCGGAUAGGAGCUCCUGCUGCAUGGUGGGGGUUGGAAAGUUUCGGCGGUUGGGGAUGGACUCGCGGCUUAUCAGCUUGUUGGUGGGGUAGUGGCUUACCAAGGCUUUGACGGGUAGCCGGCCUGAGAGGGUGACCGGCCACAUUGGGACUGAGAUACGGCCCAGACUCCUACGGGAGGCAGCAGUGGGGAAUAUUGCACAAUGGGCGGAAGCCUGAUGCAGCAACGCCGCGUGCGGGAUGACGGCCUUCGGGCUGUAAACCGCUUUCGCCUGUGACGAAGCGUGAGUGACGGUAAUGGGUAAAGAAGCACCGGCUAACUACGUG